UACGUAGGGUGCAAGCGUUUAAUCGGAAUUACUGGGCGUAAAGCGUGCGCAGGCGGUUUUGUAAGUCUGUCGUGAAAUCCCCGGGCUCAACCUGGGAAUUGCGAUGGAGACUGCAAGGCUAGAAUCUGGCAGAGGGGGGUAGAAUUCCACGUGUAGCAGUGAAAUGCGUAGAGAUCAUGAGGAAGACCAGUGGCGAAGGCGGGUCUCUGGGCCGGAACUGACGCUGGAGGAGCGAAAGCGUGGGAGCGAACAGG
rnacentral:rRNA from 1 species